AAUUUCAACAGAGUUUAUUUACUUUUGACAAUAUCAUCACUAUUUUGUUGACAUGAUUUAUCAUUUCUAUUGUUCAUACACUUCAUAGGAUUACUUAUGGGAUGAUGUAACAAUUAAUUAUAAACGAAUUUAGGACAUUUAUUAAUCCUUUGAGGUUCGUGUUGAUUUAUAAAUAGAAUAUCGUUGAAAAGCAAUAAUUAUUAAGACUUCUUCAUUCGUUUUUUCUAUACAUGACUUUACACAAUGAAGUUUGAAAGUAUUACUAGAUUUAAAGCUCUCAGAUAAAACUCAGGAACCUUAAAGGAAACUCUCAGGUGAUGAGAUUUUUGAGAAAGGAAGAGAAAUAAGAUUAAAAAAAAAAGAAAAAGAAUGAUUUUUUUUUCUGCUUGCUCUCAUAUCACGAGAAUACGUAUUGACGUUAUUUAUGCGUUUUUUUUUUUUUUUAUUACAAAUUACGAAAAUUUGCAUACGAGUCAAGGCAUUUUAUGGUCGCGUCUUCGUUUCGACUUCGUACGUCGUUGAUCUUCUUCUUUUUUUUUCCUUCUUUUUUUUUUUUUAAUUUCACAUUUAUAUUGCGACACCUGUUGUACUUCACUUUUUUUUAGAUAUUUAGAUAAUGACUGGUUCGUCUGAUAUUGGUCAUUAGUCAUUCAAGGUCAUCAACGUCCAUCAUUUCCAUCGUUUCUUAAUUCACUGCAAAUCUACUGAUUGCAGGCAUUUCUCUACUUUUUAUAUUGUAUUUUAUGACAAUAGAGAAAGUCUGACUAAUGUCAAAAAAGAUUAUUGAACGAUGUAAAAUGAAGGGAAAUGAGCGAAAUACUGUCCCUACCAUUAUUUUUGGAAUGUUAAAAAAUUGUAAAUAUGAAAAUAUAAGAGGGAAAAAAGUGAUGAUAAUUCGUAUUUUGAAACAUGAUCUUGAAUAACUUGACUUUUGUUUUUUUUUUUUUUUUUUUUUUAGACGGACUGUAAGUUUAGUUAACUUAUCACUCCCCCCUCCAUCGUACACAUACUUCCCUAUAAUUGCUAUGUGUGCUAACGAAUGCCGCCAAUGGAGUAGUUUCUUCCUUUCUUAUUAUAUGUAUAUUUUUUUUGUUUUUCUUUAUGUCAAAGGCUUUAUGUCAAAAAAGGCAAAAAGAGGGGAGAAUAUUUAAGGGAUGAUUUUAAAGACUGAAACAAGUACAAAAGUUGGUAUGCAAGAAUAUCCAUUCACUCCUUAUUUUUCAUGUUAUAAGCAACUCAACGUUUUCUCUCUGUCCCAUCUAGUACAAUUAAUUAAAUGGCUCGUAAGUUGAAAAAUAAGUUAUGCAUACUUUUAAGAAAAGUACUUUUGUAUUUAUUUUAGAAUUGCAUCUUAAAUCUUCUUCUCGCGUCGUAGGAACAUCCUGUACGUGUACACGUGUACACACAUACACACAUACACAUGUAUACUGUAGAAGCAAACGCGGCGAGGCUGGAACUCUCUGAAACUUGUUUUCAUUUUAAAGAACAAAGACGUGGUAAAAACUUUACCACUGAUAUGCCCCCUCCUCGUGUCUCAUUAUCUUUCCGUGAAUCGAUUUUGUGAUAUUUUGAAACAAAUUCUAACUUCACCAGACGUUCAUUAUUUAUUCAAAUUUUAAAACUGGAAACUCGAAGCUUGCGAAUAGCUAGGAGACAAAAUUUGGAAAACUCCGAGAAUGAAAAAAAAACGAAAACACGGAGAGAUUUGGACGAAUGUAUAUUCUUUGUAUUCCACUUGUAUUCCCUAUUUGAUCUAGACGAUUUAUCCAUUUCCGCUUGAUCUUCUCUCUUGUGCUAGCAAAUUGUUUUUUUUUUUUUUUAAUAAUAUACGUUUCUUUUCGUCGUGUAUUUUCACCCAAAAGUAGCGGAUUUUCCAUUCACUCACACACGUUCUUCCAGAAUAUUUCUCGCAAUCGGAAUCCCGUUCUUUUGCUUCUUUCUUCUUCUUUUUCCUAUGCAAUGCGCAUUCCUUCCUCCGACUUAUUGUUUCGAUAAAUUCGACACUUCGAUUCGCUCCUCCUUUAGGCACAAACUGACACAUUUGCAUCUCAGGAUUGAAUCUCGAUUUUUUUUUUUUUUUCUGGUAUAACAACAAUCGAGAGUUGUUCUUUUUUCGAGGUAUACCUUCGAGGACAAAGAUCAGAACAUGACUCUGGAGGCGAUACCUUUGGAGAGAAGUUUUAUCGAUUAUUGACACGUGAAUAAUUGUUACGUAUUGGAUAUAUUUAAUGUUCUUACUGUUCGAGGUUUUCCAGAUUUAAUUUUAAGAAUAAAGCGCAAGGAAAUUCGAAUUGAAUUAAUUUGAACGUUGAAUUUCUCUAAAGCUUACUAUAUUAUGGUAUCGUGCACAAAGGCAAGCAAGAUGUGCACAAAGCUUUAACGAGUUUUUAUCAAGGUAUCGAAUUACCAACGUACAAAAUACAUAAAGUUGGCCGGUAAAAGUAUCAAAUUUCAAAUAAGAGAGGUCAAAUAAGUAAAUAAGCUAUCUCAACUCAAGUUAGAAUUUUUAAAAUAUCGUGUUAUUUAAUUGUCUAACGUAUAAUAUCGAGUUCAUCGCGAAAUACAAGAAUUACGAAUUUCUGGAAAUCUCGAAUGGUAAAAUAAACACCGUAAGAUUGUAAAAAUCAAGCGUGUAUCAUAAGAGAGCAAUAGACGAAAGGAUUUGACAUUUAAUGGACCAAGUUCGAUUAAACGUACAUAAGUGAGAGACAAAAAUAAUAAUAAAAAUAAUAAUAAUAAUAAUAUUAAUAAUAAACGAUAGUUGGAAGGAUCGAAACGAUCUUCUAGGCUCAAUUAGCAUCAUAGAUAGUAGGGAACGAAGAGAUUGUUGUAAUUAUAUUGUUCAUAUAAACUUUUAACUUUGAUGAAAUGUUAUUACAGCUUUCAAGGGCUUCCGGAUUAACACAAUAUUGUAAAAUAAUUAUAACUACCAAUUUUAUCGUGAUUCACUAGUUGUGCCCACCUGCCAAUUUUAUUACAAAUUACAAAUUAUAUGAUUGUUAAAAAAAAAAAAUAUAUAUAUAUAUAUAAAGAGAAGGUCCAAUCUUUAGUUGGAAUAUUUUUUGAAUUUUUUGAAAGUUUUUUGAAAACUGAUCGAAAUAAUAGGCGAGAUUACGAAAACAUUGUGUUAAAUUUUAAAAUGUGCGUCAAUUAAUCUGACCGUUGGGACAAUUUUAACGAUUUAGUGAUCGGCUAAUCGGAUAAGAAAAAUGAAGUAAGUUUGGAAAUAUCGGUCGAUAAUUUUCGAUUUGCGACUCGAUGCAUCAAGAGAGUGUAAUUUUUUUUUUUUUUUUGUCAAUCUUUUGGAAUUGAAAAAUUUAUUUCUGUUCCACGUUUCUCAAAAUUAUAUAAUAAAGUCAAAUAAAAGACUGCAAUGAGCAAAUGAAUAAUAAAAUCCUUCAACUUACGAUACGUACGAUAUUCGUGUUUCUCGUUAGAUUAUUUUCAUCCUCGCGAUUCGAUGGCUGAAUUUUUUAUUCCAAAAUGAGAUAAAUUUGGAUUCAAUAUCUUGCAUCUAGCCAUUGUACUACAAUCGUGAUUUCUCUGAGGAUUAAUAUCCGAUAUAUGAACCAUGUUUCGUUUCGUCAAAGAUCUUAAACAAGAGAGAGACAGAGAGAGAGAGAGAGAAAAAGUCAAGUCGUUGAUCAACCGUGAGAAAUUUUUUAUAGAAUGUGCUUUAUUACGAGAGUCGGUAUACAGAAUAUAAAAUCAAAAGAUCAAUUUUAUCGUAACACUGUUUGCGAUACUUCUCUUCUUUGCGAAGCCGUAAACAUAUUCCUCGUAUUAUAAAUCCAUCUUGACUGAAGAACAAACCACACACCGUCCGAAAAAUUGUAUACCGUCCUUAUAAGGCGAGAUCUCGCGCGAUUGUAAUAUCGAGAUAGGGCAUGUGCGAUUAUCGAUGUAUAUUCGAAAAAUUGAAUAUGGCGGUCGUUCGUUUAUCGAUGUGGUGGAAUGGUCCCUUGUUGGUAUACUUUUUUCUAUUUCGAAAAAUUCGAACGAAAUCAACGAGGAUUGUGUAAAUAAGCUGAAAAAAGAAAAGAAUUUGUACGAGAAUAAAAUGUGUCAGCUUCGUUUAGUGUCUUAAUUCGUGAUUAACCUAUUAAGUACCAGCUUUAAAAUGAUUUUCCAAAUUGUGAAUAUUUGAUAUAUAAUAUAUACAUAUAUAUUAGACGAGUUCCUUUUAGUGCUUCUUUCGUUUUAUCGAAUAGUUGUAAUAGUUUUUAAGUAAUCGUAAUAGUAUAGUGUUAACCAUUCCUAAAAACUAAUUAAUAAUUGUUGAGAAUUCGUAAUAAUUUAUUCGAAAAAAACGAUUUAGCGAUUAAAAGGAUGAACAUAUCUUAAAAUAUCUGUGGAAAUAUAAUAUAAUGGUAACACAAAUGCAACACAUUCGUUCGUCAUAAUCCGCUAUUUUAUUAGAAAAACGUUAUUAAAUAGUUUGGACCGGACACACGCGCAAAACAUGUUCGGUGUUACGUCGAUAAUGACAGAUGACAAAACUCUUAAACAGCUACUGCAAUUUCAAUUUCAAUUUUUUAACUUUUCGUGAUCUAAAUCUAUUACUACUUGUAAGUACAGUUCAAGACUUUCAGAUGCAAAUUCUAGUUCUUUCGAAACAAUAUUCUAAAUAAAAUUACACUACUGCAAAUGAUUUUGUCAGGGUUAAAACUAAUACAGCGAUAUACUGCCAAUUUAAUAAAUUUUGCAGAUUACUAUUUUCAUAAUAGCAACAAGUUUU
rnacentral:lncRNA from 1 species